ensembl:lncRNA
UAUGAAAAGUCAAUGUUUUAUCAAAAAAUGAACUCCUUUUCUACUGAUUUUGUAACAUUUUGAAUGUUUCUGAAGAGUUCCUGUAUCCUCGGAUAAAAGUCUGUGCUGGUUGCAGAAAACAACUCGACCUGCACACAUGGUGAAGGUUGCAGAUGUGCUCGGGUCUCUUCUUGGAAGAGGGAUUUUGCAGGAAGCGGUGAGCAGCAAGAGAACUACCAGAACAUUGGUACCUUGACUUCUGAUGUGUGAUGGAGGGAAACGUUUGGAUCUUCUCAGGAGGAUGCAAAUGAAAGCAUGAAGGCUUCAGACAUCACAGAGGCUCAGAAAAAACUCAGAAAAAGACAGAGAAUGAGAGAACAGAAGAAGUUGAAGCAGCAGAAUCUUCUUCUAUGAGAUAUUCUUUUUGAAAUUUAUGCAAAGAGAAUGCAGCUUUGUAAAGGGAGCUGAGCAUAAUCCCAAACACUGAUGAGAAUGCUUGGACAAUGAAGAGAUCAAGCCUCCGCACUAACCAGCAGGCCAUCAGGAGGGGGUGGAUGUUUCAGCUCUCUCCUUAAGCCACUGUGCUUUGCAUGAGAUAAUUCAGUAUGAAUUGGACCAGAGAGAGAGAGAGAGACAUCAGUGAAUGUAAUUUUUGAACCCCAGAGGCCAGUCAGCUACUGGAGGGAAGGGAGCUGCACUUGAGUCCCACUUCUAAUUAACGUAACUGUUAAUUAGUGUGGAAAACAGCAAAAAAGACCUGCCAGGAGGAUUUCAGAACCCACCAGACUGCAGCCUAACAGUUAGGACAUGCUUGCGUGAGUUUAACUGUUCUUGGUUAAGAGACAGACUUAAAAUCUCUGACUCUUGGAUUUAAAAAAAAAAAAAAAAGAAGAAGAAAAAGAAGAAAAAGAAAAAGAAAGACCGGAUAAAAUGGAAAUAGAAACAAAACACUUCAAUUUGCUGAGAAUGAAAUCUGUGCAAACACUUUUUGUAAUCCUCAACUAGAUUCAGAGAAAUGAGUGGUUUUUAAACCCUGACAGUGUAUAAAUAUAAAUUACAUGCUUAGCUGCUCAGUGCCAUCAAAAUGUGCAUGGUUCUGGGCAUACCCUGAAGGAGACAUUUAUCUGCUGGUAGAAGUUGACUGGUGGAAGUGCAAUCACUUAAGGAACCAUUUCUGUUAAUGCAAAGGCUGCUGUUGAUGACUGCCUGCUGCUUUCUUCUUCGGGACUGACUGCUUGGCUGACUUUCAACUUGUUGGUUGGGUUUUAUAAGAAAAAAUGUAGAUGUUUACAGCAUAGGUAUCUACAUUUGACCCACUGUCCUUGACUCUUUCCCCAUUCAUCAUUUGUUUACUUAGUAUAGAAAAUAUGAAGAUCUGUGAGG